CCUCCUCGAUCUGUUGCGGGCAAAUGUAGUGUAUAUGGGUGUCGAUCCCCCCCGCGGUGAUGAUCUUGCCUUCUCCUGCGAUGAUCUCGGUACCAGGUCCGAUGAUGAUAUCGACGUUGGGCUGCACAUCGGGAUUGCCGGCCUUCCCGAUCCUUGAAAUGAGCCCAUCCUUGAUAGCGAGGUCCGCCUUCACGACCCCCCAAUGAUCAAGAAUCAGGGCGUUGGUGAUGACUGUAUCAACCGCUCCCUCGCUGCGCGUACGCUGCGACUGUCCCAUGCCGUCACGAAUG
rnacentral:sRNA from 1 species